rnacentral:rRNA from 1 species
GACGAACGCUGGCGGCGUGCCUAAUACAUGCAAGUUGAGCGAUGAAGAUUGGUGCUUGCACCAAUUUGAAGAGCAGCGCACGGGUGAGUAACGCGUGGGGAAUCUGCCUUUGAGCGGGGGACAACAUUUGGAAACGAAUGCUAAUACCGCAUAACAACUUUAAACAUAAGUUUUAAGUUUGAAAGAUGCAAUUGCAUCACUCAAAGAUGAUCCCGCGUUGUAUUAGCUAGUUGGUGAGGUAAAGGCUCACCAAGGCGAUGAUACAUAGCCGACCUGAGAGGGUGAGCGGCCAGAUUGGGAGUGAGACACGGCCCAAACUCCUACGGGAAGCAGCAGGAGGGAAUCUUCGGCAAUGGGCGAAAGUCUGACCGAGAAACGCCGCGGGAGUGAAGAAGGUUUUCGGAUCGUAAAACUCUGUUGGUAGAGAAGAACGUUGGUGAGAGUGGAAAGCUCAUCAAGUGACGGUAACUACCCAGAAAGGGACGGCUAACUACGUG